UUACGGCCACACCACGUUAAAACACCGGCUCUCAUAAAUUCACUGAAGUUAAGCAACGUUGAACCUGGUUAGUAACUAGAUGGGUGACCGCUUGGGAAUACAAGGUGCUGUG